AGAGUUUGAUCCUGGCUCAGGAUGAACGCUAGCGGGAGGCUUAACACAUGCAAGUCGAGCGGUAUUGACCUUCGGGUCGAGAGAGCGGCGGACGGGUGAGUAACGCGUAUGCAACCUGCCUUAUGCAGGGGAAUAGCCCGGGGAAACCCGGAUUAAUACUCCAUAGAUCAGUAGUAUCGCAUGGUACGAUUGGUAAAGAUUUAUCGGCAUAAGAUGGGCAUGCGUCUGAUUAGCUAGUUGGUAGGGUAACGGCCUACCAAGGCGACGAUCAGUAGGGGUUCUGAGAGGAUUAACCCCCACACUGGUACUGAGACACGGACCAGACUCCUACGGGAGGCAGCAGUGAGGAAUAUUGGUCAAUGGGCGCAAGCCUGAACCAGCCAUCCCGCGUGAAGGAUGAAUGCCUUAUGGGUUGUAAACUUCUUUUGUACCUGAAGAAACUCUGGGUCGAGACCUGGACUGCCGGUAGGGUACGAAUAAGCAUCGGCUAACUCCGUGCCAGCAGCCGCGGUAAUACGGAGGAUGCAAGCGUUAUCCGGAUUUAUUGGGUUUAAAGGGUGCGCAGGUGGUUAAAUAAGUCAGUGGUGAAAGUCUGCCGCUUAACGGUAGGAUUGCCAUUGAUACUGUUUAACUUGAGUUUAGGUGAGGUAG
rnacentral:rRNA from 1 species